CAGAAACAGCAGGAGACAGAUGCCUUUGCUUGAUAUUAAUCCAGAGUCUUCCAGUGCCACUGAACAGGAGUAAGCAGCUGCCUCUCAGCUGGACUUCUCGUCGCCAUUGCUGGGAUUACCAGGAUAGCAGCAAGACACAUGGAGGUCUCCCAGGGAGGCAGGAGACCACCUGGCUGAGGGACUUUGCUGUGCUCAGAGCCCGGGGCACCAGCACCUCCGU
rnacentral:lncRNA from 1 species